UACGAAGGGGGCUAGCGUUGUUCGGAAUUACUGGGCGUAAAGCGCACGUAGACGGAAUGUUAAGUCAGGGGUGAAAUCCCGGGGCUCAACCCCGGAACUGCCUUUGAUACUGGCAUUCUCGAGUCCGGAAGAGGUGAGUGGAAUUCCGAGUGUAGAGGUGAAAUUCGUAGAUAUUCGGAGGAACACCAGUGGCGAAGGCGGCUCACUGGUCCGGUACUGACGCUGAGGUGCGAAAGCGUGGGGAGCAAACAGG
rnacentral:rRNA from 1 species